UGUUUUCUUCUUAGGUUUAUCGACGGGGGCUUCAGGCAAUACCUCUUAGUGUUGAUCUUUGGAUACAUUAUAUAAACUUCUUGAAAGAAACAUUGGACCCUGGUGAUCAGGAGACAAACACUACAAUAAGAGGGUAUGUUACAUAUUUGACACUUAAUGUAUUUUAAGACAUAUAAGUAUGUAGGUAUUGAUAAGAGAACUAUUUGUGAAUGCUAAACUGGAAGUUAAUAUUUAUUUGCUUCAUCCCUAUUUUAAAAAAUGGUACAUGAAAUAAACUUAUGUGUGAUUACUUAAGACAUGCAGUCUUCCUUUUUUCCAUGCACACACCUCUUAUGUCUCUAAGUUACAUCUUACUCACUUGUGGUUAAUGUCCCCCCACCUCCACCCCAUCUUAGUUUUGCAUGUCACCUGUGUGCCUGGUGUGCUGGGAGGGCCAGAAGAGGAUCCCCUGGAACUGAAGUCACAGACAGUUGUGGGCUUCGAGGUGGGUGCUGGGAACCCAGAUCCUCUGGAAAAGCAGCAGGUGGCUUUAAAUGCUGAGCCAUCUCUCCAGGCCUGUGGUUAAUGUCUUAAUGUCUGUGCCUCCAGAUAUUAUAUAGUGUACAUAUUUGUGUGUGUUUUACAUACUGGUCUUCAACUUAUUUUUUAAUGGGAUGCUUUAGAAUUUUUCCCACCCAUAUUUUUAACUUGAAAGAAACAGUGUGAAAGCCCUGUAUUUUAUUUACCAAACUUUACUUAUGGGACAUAGUUUUACAAAAAAUGUCUCUGAACAUAUAUUUUUGUGACAUAAACAUGUCUGUAAAGGCAUUUUGCAAAUGUUCCUCCAAGAUAGUAUCGAUUUUAAACUUCUACAAAAGUAUGAAAGUAGUCACUUUUUCUUGGCUUUUUCACUUGUUUCCACCUGUGCUAUCUUUCUUUAAAUAUGGAUAUAUUAGGGUUGAAAAGAUGUCUCAGCAGUUAAAAGCACUUACUGCUCUUUCAGACAAACUGGAUUUGGUUUCCAACUCCUGUGUGAUAGCUUGCAAACAUCUGUAACUACAUUUCCAGGUAAUCCAAAGCCCUUUUCUAGACCCUGGCACCAGGCAUGCAUACCUAUACAUAAAUACCUACACAUAAAAAAUAAAUCAUAGUGUGUCCUGAUUUAUCAUUUUAUUAUAUGAAUUUGUGUGCUUGAUAUUGAAUCCAUGGCUAAGUAUAUUCUACCACUAAUAGGAAUUAGUCUAUUUAUGAGUUUUAUUAAGAAUAUAUGUCUCUACCAGGUUUUCCCAUUUCCUUGUAGUAUAACUAUAUGUUAGGCUUCAGUAAAUGUUAAUUGUAUGUAUUUUAGUCAUUUUGAAUCUAUAGUAUUUUUCAUCAUCGUCAUCUUCAGCAGUCUAUUUUCCCUGGGCUUAAUUUCUUCUCACUUAACCAUGUUUCUCAUUUGUGUAAUAAAAAGGCUGUUCAUAUAGCUUUCCCAACAGGCCUGUUGAUAAUCUGUAAAUCUUACCUUUUCCCCCUUCUCCCUCUUGUAGCUGUUUCUGUUCUGCAGUAUGUCCUCAAUGCUAUUAUCUCAUUCACCAUGGUUCUAGGAAAUGUCUUUUCCUUACUUCUAGAUUUCAGAUUUUGUUUAUAGGAGUUUGUUAGAUACUUUUUCUUUCUUUAUACCUACUUAUAGAAGUAUAUAGUUAAUAGCCUCUUCAUAGAGGAUCCUUG
rnacentral:lncRNA from 1 species